AAGCAUUUGCUAGGCACAUCAGCCAUUGACAGACAUUGGCUGUUCAUUGGGAUCGGAACUCUAGUUUGCUUCAUUCCUACUUCACAACUGCCAUAGCCAGUGGUCACAGGAAAGGCUCUUCCCAACGAAAAAUCAAAAGUAGGGUCUCCCUCUGAUGCCGAGCCAAGGCUGGACGGUGCUGCUGCCAUCUCGGCUCACUGCAGCCUCCCUGCCUGAUUCUCCUGCCUCAGCCUGCUGAGUGCCUGCGAUUGCAGGCGCACGCCGCCACGCCUGACUGGUUUUCGUUUUUUUUUUGGUGGAGACGGGGUUUUGCUGUGUUGGCCGGGCUGGUCUCCAGCUCCUAGCCGCGAGUGAUCCGCCAGCCUCGGCCUCCCGGGGUGCCGGGAUUGCGGACGGAGUCUCGUUCACUCAGUGCUCAGUGGUGCCCAGGCUGGAGUGCAGUGGCGUGAUCUCGGCUCGCUACAGCCUCCACCUCCCAGCCGCCUGCCUUGGCCCCCCAAAGUGCCGAGAUUGCAGCCUCUGCCCAGCCGCCACCCCGUCUGGGAAGUGAGGAGCGUCUCUGCUUGGCCACCCAUCGUCUGGGAUAUGAGGAGCCUCUCUGCCUGGCUGCCCAGUCUGGAAAGUGAGGAGCGUCUCUGCCCGGCCGCCAUCCCAUCUAGGAAGCGAGGAGCGCCUCUUCCCCGCCGCCAUCCCAUCUAGGAAGUGAGGAGCGUCUCUGCCCGGCCGCCCAUCGUCUGAGAUGUGGGGAGCACCUCUGCCCCGCCGCCCUGUCUGGGAUGUGAGGAGCGCCUCUGCUGGCCGCAACCCUGUCUGGGAGGUGAAGAGCGUCUCUGCCCGGCCGCCCCGUCUGAGAAGUGAGGAAACCCUCUGCCUGGCAACCGCCCCGUCUGAGAAGUGAGGAGCCCCUCCGUCUGGCAGCCACCCCGUCUGGGAAGUGAGGAGCGUCUCCGCCCGGCAGCCACCCCGUCCGGGAGGGAGGUGGGGGGGGUCAGCCCCCCGCCCGGCCAGCCGCCCAGUCCGGGAGGGAGGUGGGGGGAUCAGCCC
rnacentral:lncRNA from 1 species